rnacentral:tRNA from 4 species
GCGGGUGUAGCUCAAUGGUAGAGCAGAAGCUUCCCAAGCUUAAGACGAGGGUUUUUAUCACUGCACCCACA